rnacentral:rRNA from 1 species
AGUGAACGCUGGCGGCAGGCCUAACACAUGCAAGUCGAACGGCAGCACAGGAGAGCUUGCUCUCUGGGUGGCGAGUGGCGGACGGGUGAGGAAUACGUCGGAAUCUGCCUAUUUGUGGGGGAUAACGUAGGGAAACUUACGCUAAUACCGCAUACGACCUACGGGUGAAAGCGGAGGACCUUCGGGCUUCGCGCAGAUAGAUGAGCCGACGUCGGAUUAGCUU